rnacentral:tRNA from 1 species
GGAGCCGUGGCCGAGCGGCUAGGCAAAGCUCUGCAAAAGCUUCUACAGCAGUUCGAAUCUGCUCGGCUCCU